GGACCCAUAGCUCAGUGGUUAGAGCUGCCGGCUCAUAACUGGUAGGUCGCUGGUUCAAAUCCAGCUGGGCCCACCA
rnacentral:tRNA from 1 species